AUCAGUACUGAUGUCAUAAACCCAUCAUUACAGUCCACUGUUUGCAUAAACCUUUUGCUGUAGUCAGGUAGGAUCAAAUUUGUUGUUUGAACCAAUGCCAUUUUCAAUUUUGUGAAUGCUUCUUCUGCUUCUGGUGUCCACGUGAUUUUAUCUUUGAGUGCUAAUGGCUGUCCAUGAGCUACCUCUAUCAGUGGUUGAGCCAUUUCAGCAUAGAGUGGAACCCA